rnacentral:rRNA from 1 species
AACGGAAAGGCCCUGCUUGCAGGGUACUCGAGUGGCGAACGGGUGAGUAACACGUGGGUGAUCUGCCCUGCACUUCGGGAUAAGCUUGGGAAACUGGGUCUAAUACCGGAUAGGAGCCAUCUUUAGUGUGGUGGUUGGAAAGUUUUUUCGGUGUAGGAUGAGCUCGCGGCCUAUCAGCUUGUUGGUGGGGUAAUGGCCUACCAAGGCGGCGACGGGUAGCCGGCCUGAGAGGGUGUACGGCCACAUUGGGACUGAGAUACGGCCUAGACUCCUACGGGAGGCAGCAGUGGGGAAUAUUGCACAAUGGGCGCAAGCCUGAUGCAGCGACGCCGCGUGGGGGAUGAAGGCCUUCGGGUUGUAAACUCCUUUCGCUAGGGACGAAGCUUUGUGUGACGGUACCUAGAUAAGAAGCACCGGCUAACUACGUGCCAGCAGCCGCGGUAAUACGUAGGGUGCGAGCGUUGUCCGGAAUUACUGGGCGUAAAGGGCUCGUAGGUGGUUUGUCGCGUCGUCUGUGAAAUUCUGGGGCUUAACUCCGGGCGUGCAGGCGAUACGGGCAUAACUUGAGUGCUGUAGGGGUAACUGGAAUUCCUGGUGUAGCGGUGAAAUGCGCAGAUAUCAGGAGGAACACCGAUGGCGAAGGCAGGUUACUGGGCAGUUACUGACGCUGAGGAGCGAAAGCAUGGGUAGCGAACAGGAUUAGAUACCCUGGU